rnacentral:rRNA from 1 species
AUACAGAGGGUGCAAGCGUUAAUCGGAAUUACUGGGCGUAAAGCGCGCGUAGGCGGUUUAAUCAGUCGGAUGUGAAAGCCCCGGGCUCAACCUGGGAACUGCAUUCGAUACUGUUAAGCUAGAGUAUGGUAGAGGGAAGUGGAAUUCCAGGUGUAGCGGUGAAAUGCGUAGAUAUCUGGAGGAACAUCAGUGGCGAAGGCGACUUCCUGGACCAAUACUGACGCUGAGGUGCGAAAGCGUGGGGAGCGAACAGGAUUAGAAACCCCAGUAGUCC